AAUCUUGCGCAAUGGGGGAAACCCUGACGCAGCGACGCCGCGUGCGGGAUGAAGGCCUUCGGGUUGUAAACCGCUUUCAGCAGGGACGAAAUUGACGGUACCUGCAGAAGAAGGCCCGGCCAACUACGUGCCAGCAGCCGCGGUAAUACGUAGGGGCCUAGCGUUGUCCGGAUUUAUUGGGCGUAAAGAGCUCGUAGGCGGUUCGGCAAGUCGGAUGUGAAAUCUCCACGCUUAACGUGGAGGGGCCAUUCGAAACUGCCGUGACUCGAGUCCGGUAGGGGAGUGUGGAAUUCCUGGUGUAGCGGUGAAAUGCGCAGAUAUCAGGAGGAACACCAGUAGCGAAGGCGGCACUCUGGGCCGGUACUGACGCUGAGGAGCGAAAGCGUGGGGAGCGAACAGGAUUAGAUACCCUGGUAGUCCACGCCGUAAACGUUGGGCACUAGGUGUGGGACUCUAUCGACGGGUUCCGUGCCGUAGCUAACGCAUUAAGUGCCCCGCCUGGGGAGUACGGCCGCAAGGCUA
rnacentral:rRNA from 1 species